rnacentral:rRNA from 2 species
CCUACGGGGGGCUGCAGUGGGGAAUAUUGCACAAUGGGGGAAACCCUGAUGCAGCAACGCCGCGUGAAGGAAGAAGGUUUUCGGAUCGUAAACUUCUAUCAGUAGGGAAGAAGCAAGUGACGGUACCUAACUAAGAAGCCCCGGCUAACUACGUGCCAGCAGCCGCGGUAAUACGUAGGGGGCAAGCGUUAUCCGGAAUCACUGGGUGUAAAGGGUGCGUAGGCGGCGAUAUAAGUCAGAUGUGAAAAACCGAUGCUCAACAUCGGUCCUGCAUUUGAAACUGUAUGGCUAGAGUACAGGAGAGGAAAGUGGAAUUCCUAGUGUAGCGGUGAAAUGCGUAGAUAUUAGGAGGAACAUCAGUGGCGAAGGCGACUUUCUGGACUGUAACUGACGCUGAGGCACGAAAGCGUGGGUAGCGAACAGGCUUAGAUACCCCGGUAGUC